CUAUAGGCUUAUCUUUUUAAAUUUUAGGUAGCGUGUGGAGAUUUCAUCUUAUGUUCAUGAGCGCACAACGUAUAAAAUCAUAAGAAAUGUUUUCUGGUGGUGUGUAGCAGUUAACCGCAUUUAAGUAAAAAUAUUUUAAAAUAAUUGUUACCAGAGCUGAAUUACAUUGAGGCUUGUGGAGAACAGCUUUUUUUUAUCUACUCUUUGGCUGGCCAAUGUAAAUAAGCAAUGAUUUCGUGAAUGCAGCGAGAGAGUUUAUUUGAUGUAUUUUAAAAUCACUGAUAAUAUUUAUUGAUGUAUUUUAAAAUCACUGAUAAUAUUUAUUGAUGUAUUUUAAAAUCACUGAUAAUAUUUGUUUUGUGGCUGGAAGAUGGUAACCAUGGUGACUUGUGAAUUUUUAUGAAGAUUAAUAAAAAGCAGUAAAAAUUA